rnacentral:rRNA from 1 species
AGUGAACGCUGGCGGUAGGCCUAACACAUGCAAGUCGAACGGCAGCACAGUAAGAGCUUGCUCUUACGGGUGGCGAGUGGCGGACGGGUGAGGAAUACAUCGGAAUCUACUUUUUCGUGGGGGAUAACGUAGGGAACCUUACGCUAAUACCGCAUACGACCUACGGGUGAAAGCAGGGGAUCUUCGGACCUUGCGCGAUUGAAUGAGCCGAUGUCGGAUUAGCUAGUUGGCGGGGUAAAGGCCCACCAAGGCGACGAUCCGUAGCUGGUCUGAGAGGAUGAUCAGCCACACUGGAACUGAGACACGGUCCAGACUCCUACGGGAGGCAGCAGUGGGGAAUAUUGGACAAUGGGCGCAAGCCUGAUCCAGCCAUACCGCGUGGGUGAAGAAGGCCUUCGGGUUGUAAAGCCCUUUUGUUGGGAAAGAGAAGCAGCAGGUUAAUACCCCGCUGUUCUGACGGUACCCAAAGAAUAAGCACAGGCUAACUUCGUG